GUAAGGAAUAUUGGACAAUGGACGCAAGUCUGAUCCAGCCAUGCCGCGUGAAGGAUUAAGGUCCUCUGGAUUGUAAACUUCUUUUAUAAGGGACGAAAAAAGGCUUUUCUAAGUCGUCUGACGGUACCUUAUGAAUAAGCACCGGCUAACUCCGUGCCAGCAGCCGCGGUAAUAAGGAGGGUGCAAGCGUUAUGCGGAUUCAUUGGUUUUAAAGGGUGCGUAGGCGGGCAGGUAAGUCAGUGGUGAAAUCCUAGAGCUUAACUCUAGAACUGCCAUUGAUACUAUCUGUCUUGAAUAUUGUGGAGGUAAGCGGAAUAUGUCAUGUAGCGGUGAAAUGCUUAGAUAUGACAUAGAACACCUAUUGCGAAGGCAGCUUACUACGCAUAUAUUGACGCUGAGGCACGAAAGCGUGGGGAUCAAACAGGAUUAGAAACCCUGGUAGUCC
rnacentral:rRNA from 1 species